rnacentral:lncRNA from 1 species
AACUUCUUUCUCUUUUUUUUUAUAUCGUCUAGUACAAAAGAAAAUAAACAAUAGAUCACACAAACAAUAUAAACAUAAAAACAACACUGAUUAAAUUCUGGUGGGAUACCGGCGAUUCCAACAACAGGACGGAGUCUAUCUUUGGAGACAUUGUUGCCUUUGGCGCCCAAGUCCAAUUUAAAAUAACGAUCGUAUUUUCCACGGAUUUUAAAAGGACCCAAGAAGGUUGGAGAAAGGGAUUCUCUAAUUGGCUUAUUUUUAAUUAAAACGUAGUCAGCCUUGCUCCGACGGUUGUCGAACGUUUUAAUCUGGGUUACACGUGUGGGAACGUGAGCCACCUUCUCCAUCGUCUCGAAGAAGUGCCCCACAUCGGCAUCUGCCUUAGGAAUGGAAACAAAUCGAAGAAGCCUAAAGCCAAAGAUCCCAAGCGACGAUAUCCGUGCAACUAGCCCAGUUUUUAGGGAUCUGUGGAACCGUUCAAUAAACUCGUUUGAUUCAGAAUGAUAUGAUGUGGUCGUUCUAUUUGCGACUCCAAGUGCCCAACAAACACACGUCCAAAUAGCACUUGUGAGUUGCGUCCCCCUGUCUGACACAAUGAUGUCAGGUACUCCUAAUCUUGAUAUCUAACCUUCCAAGAAAGCUCCAACCACUGUACUAGAGGUGAUAUUAGGAAUUGGGACCACUUCCGAGCCGGUCGUAUACCGAUCUGUCACAGUCAGGGCAUAGUGCUGUCCUUUGACGAGUGUGAACGGGCCAAUUGCAUUAUGCAGUAAAAAAAUUAAUAUCAGAACGUAAUUUAGACCAAGUGUAGAAGGGUGAUACCUUUCUUAGAGUAUCUUUGAAUCCCGGAUGAUUAUCUUGUGGCUUGAUUGAGUAAUUCGAUAGCAAAGUUCUGGAGAGGACACUACGACAUGAAAGAAGUUCGGGAAUUUUUCGAAUCACGUCGGGGUCUCCAAUAUAAAGUAUUUAAUGUUCAAAUAUCUACUGAUUAUAUUCUGGAUAAAUAAUAAUAAUAACAAGAAGAAAAAGAAGACGUGAUCAACUUGAUCAAAUCAUACUUCAACAUAUAUUAGAACAUGAUAUGAUUUAAGAUGAAGCCUUCAAGAUAGUAAUUGCAAAGCAAAGCAGUUGCCCAAUGGACUUACUGGCAUGGCCGGCUAGGUUUAUCAUAACAUAUGUUUUAAUCUUCAUACUUUCCAUCAUAAACUGAUUUCCCAAUAAGUAAGUUCUACAUUUGAGGAAACCCCAUUGAAUGUGCAAGGCUUCUAAUUCACAAACUGCAUAUGAGUGUCGUUUAAAAAUCGUGAGCCACGAUUUAUUAUUCUAGUGGAGCCAUAACUGUGGAUUUGUUGAAUAACAAAACUAAUUCCCGAAGACGUGAAGCAUCCGUCAGAAAUGUACUGGGAAAGGUUUGGAUCAAAGCCGCGAAGAAGUUGUGUAGCGCGUGCUAAAUAUGGAAGGAAUUUACCUAAUUGAUUAGCAAGGCCAAGAAAUGAUCUGAGAUUAAUCAAAUUACUUGGUGAUGGAAAUUGGCAAUGCAUGUGACUUUUUCUGUGUCUGGUGAUAUGCCGUUGGAUGACAAAAUACAUCACACAUACUUGACGGAUUCACCUAUUUGAAUUUUUGGUUUUGAUGUUCUUCAGGAUUGGAAAUGGAUAUGAGGAUGUCAUCGACAAUUUUCUUUGCUCCUUUUAAACCUUCUAAUGCUCUAUGGCCUCUCAAACACCAUUCACCUCAGAAAGUGUUCAGUCCCAUUGGAGCUUUACAAUAUUGAAAACGUACAAAGUAUUUGGAUGUUGAUGGAAUUGAAGAUGAGAGUUCUUUUGGAGAUGGGAAGGGAUGAACAAGGCGUUUAAAGAAAUUUUUAAGGUGGGUGUAAUCCACGACGAACCGUAAGGAUCCAUUUGGUUUUGGAAUGUACAUACAUGGACAACCCAAUCAAUGUAUCUCAGAACGCAAAUUGAAUAUUUCGUGAUGUGGUAACCUACAUCAGUGAAUAUCCACAUUAUCCUUCAAGUAUAUCAUCAUAGGAUGACCCUUUAUUGCUUUAAGUUUUUUGACAAUUGAAAAACAUAAUAAAAUUCACCAACUACA